GAGGGGUGCAAACGUUGUCCGGAAUUACUGGGCGUAAAGAGCGCGUAGGCGGUCUGAUCCGUCGUUUAUUAAAGACCGAGGCUCAACCUCGGGAAAGUGAACGAUACAAUCAGACUUGAGUAAAGCAGAGGCACAUGGAACACUCGGUGGAGGGGUGACAUCCGUUGAUAUCGAGUGGAACACCAAAGGCGAAGGCAGUGUGCUAGGCUUUUACUGACGCUGAGGCGCGACAGCGUGGGUAGCGAUCGGGAUUAGAUACCCCGGUAGUCCACGCCGUAAAUUCUGCUCACUAGGCAUUGGGGAGUAUCGACCCUUCUUUGUGCCGAAGUUAACACGUUAAGUGAGCCGCCUGGGGAGUACGAACGCAAGUUUA
rnacentral:rRNA from 1 species